rnacentral:rRNA from 1 species
GACGAACGCUGGCGGCGUGCCUAAUACAUGCAAGUCGAACGCAGUGGGGACGGGUGCGUAAAACGUGGGUAACCUCCCAUCAGAGGGGAUAACCCUUGGAAACAGGUGCUAAACCGCAACUGAUGGAUGGACCAGCGGUGCAUUAGCUUGUUGGGGAGGUAACGGCUCACCAAGGCCACGAUGCAUAGCCGACCUGAGAGGAUGAGCGGCCACACUGGGACUGAGACACGGCCCAGACUCCUACGGGAGGCAGCAGUAGGGAAUCUUGGGCAAUGGACGAAAGUCUGACCGAGCAACGCCGCGUGAGUGAAGAAGGUUUUCGGAUCGUAAAGCGCUGUUGGUAGGGAAGCGUUAUCUAACCAGAAAGCCACGGCUAACUACGUGCCAGCAGCCGCGGUAAUAC